rnacentral:rRNA from 1 species
UGGAUCAUGUUGUUUAAUUCGAUGAUACGCGAAGAACCUUACCAGGUCUUGACAUCCCCCGCGAUGCUUUAGAGAUAAAGCGGAGGUAUUCGGGGAGACAGGUGGUGCAUGGUUGUCGUCAGCUCGUGUCGUGAGAUGUUGGGUUAAGUCCCGCAACGAGCGCAACCCUAUUGCUAGUUACCAUCAUUAAGUUGGGGACUCUAGCGAGACUGCCAGUGAUAAACUGGAGGAAGGUGGGGAUGACGUCAAAUCAUCAUGCCCCUUAUGACCUGGGCUACAAACGUGAUACAAUGGCUGGAACAAAGGGAUGCGAAGCAGUGAUGUGGAGCGAAACCCAUAAAAACAGUCUCAGUUCGGAUUGAAGUCUGCAACUCGACUUCAUGAAGUCGGAAUCGCUAGUAAUCGCGGAUCAGAACGCCGCGGUGAAUACGUUCUCGGGGUUC